rnacentral:rRNA from 1 species
AUCAGCAUGCUGGGGUGAAUGCGUUCCCGGGCCUUGUACACACCGCCCGUCACACCACGAAAGUUGGUUUUACCCGAAGCCGAUGAGCUAACAGCAAUGAGGCAAUCGUCUACGGUAGGCCCGAUGAUUGGGGUGAAGUCGUAACAAGGUAUC